rnacentral:lncRNA from 1 species
UCUCUGAUCCAGACUCUGACCUGCUCUAAAAGGCAUCAAAAACCCACAUGUGCCCUACCUUCCAGAGCUUCAAACUGAAAUUCUCCACUGCACGCUCAAACCCAGGCCUGUGGCAAAAAAAAGCAGCCAUGAGAAGAAGAAGCCAGAGGACUCACCUGCUGGACACAAGGGAGGUGCAUCAGCCACCUGAUGAGACUUCUCAGAAGCAGAUGUCCACUGGUGAUGCAUGGCCGGAUUUCAAGCUCACACAGCAUAAUUUACAGCCCUAGAACGAACAGCUUUACAACUUUACACACUAGUGACUCAGGCUGAGUGAAGGCAGGUUCCCGGCACCGUCCUGCCCCUGGUGGGCGGCUCACAUCCUGCGUGGCUGGCAGCACCGUCCCCCGCUGCAGUCCCUGGACCAACUGCCAGCGGAUCCACAUGCGGCGUCCCACACCCAGAUGCCAGCAAGCAUCAGCUGCACAGCUCGCAGUGGAAGGCACAGUACCAGGAUAUGCUGCUCAUCAGCAUCUGCGGUCUACACAAACGCAUCUGUAUCCCAGCAGCAGAGGGGAACCAGCACAGGACUGGCUCUGCGAUCCAGUGAAGGGAUCUUUCAAAACGUCAUCCUCCUCCUUUGAUUCCACUGUGAGCAGAGGGUAUGCCUCUCACUCUUGGGUCAUCUGGGAACAUUUUCGUUUUUGACUGCAGCUUCCUGUGCUCCCGCGUGGCUUUGGGGCAGGACUAGGAUAGGU